GUAAUACAACUCUCUGUUAUAGGGGUUCACACGCCUUCCGGAACGGAACGGGACGCUGGGUUCACUUUCUUUCCGGAACGGAACGGGGCACGGGACAGAUCAGCUCCCGAUCGAGUGGCAUCGCAAUUUGUCUAAUUGAAUCCGUAACAAUCCUGAGAUGCAUUGGCCCUGGGAGCGGAUAUCGUUGCGACGUUCGAUUGGCAAGUAAAAUUUACAUUUAAUUCGAUAUUGUAACAAAAGUCAUGGAACGGUCGAAUAAGUCUCAUCGCGGUUCACGUCUCGACACAUUUUAUUUCACAUUUUGAUAUUUUUUGUAUAAAUUAUUCUCGCGAGCGAUCGAAGCGAUUAACGUGAUAAUCGCAUUUUCGCGAUAAUGCGACAAUUGUUGACUUAUAUACAAGCUAAAAUUUCUUUUGUUAUUUUUAUAAAUAAUGUUAUUUUUAUUAAUAUAAACCAUCUAUAAAAAUAUGUUGCUAAAUAUAUUAUUCAGAUAACUUAUAUAUGUAUGUAAUUUAAUAAAGUAUAGAUAAUAAUAUAAUUUUAUCUUAAUUUACUUUGCAGGAACAGUAUGUGUAAUAGAUCCUUAAACUAUUUCAUAAUUUAUUUAAAAAAUUGUUUAUUAUAUAUUGUUCUUACAGAAAUUUAAUACUGACAGUAUUAAAUUAGCCAAUGAUUAUAAUAAUUACUUAUUAUUUGAAUAUUAAAACAGUAUUAAAAUAGUUGUAAUUUUAAUAUUUAAAAUAAAUCACUGGUCAAUAUUUAAUACUGUCAAUAUCAAAUUUCUGGGUGUACCAUAAAGAUAUUUUGCAUCUAAACUAGUGUGAGGACCCUUAUUCCAAGGAAACUCAUCGUCACUGCAUUCCAUGUUGUAUCCAAUUCCAACAAUUUUUUUGUCACUAUUAAAGAUACACGCGCCGACCUGGGUGCAAGGAUCUUUGCUCUGUUUUGUAGAAAGGAACGCAAUAGCCAUGAAAUAUUCAUCCCAAUCAAUGUACGACGUUCUCUUAGAAUUAUUUCUAUAAUUACAAAACAGAGAUAGGUAUCAAUAAUAAAUCAGCAUCUAAAAUACAUGUAUUUCUGUACAUUUAUUACAGGAAUAAAUAUUUUUCAGAUUGAAAUAAAAACAUACCGUUCGCACAUUGUUUUCGCCAUGGUUAAUUAAGCCUUUACUUGAAUUUCUCACAAAAACACAGAUCUAAUAUUUAAAUAUUUAUAUAUUUGAAUAAAUAGCGCUAUGAUAACGAAAUCUUAACUUAUAUGCAGAACAGAAAGGUAGAAUUCCC